rnacentral:rRNA from 1 species
UACGGGGGGGGCAAGCGUUGUUCGGAAUUACUGGGCGUAAAGGGCUCGUAGGUGGCCAACUAAGUCAGACGUGAAAUCCCUCGGCUCAACCGAGGAACUGCAUCCGAUACUGGCGGGCUUGAAUCCGGGAGAGGGAUGUGGAAUUCCAGGUGUAGCGGUGAAAUGCGUAGAUAUCUGGAGGAACACCGGUGGCGAAGGCGGCAUCCUGGACCGGUAUUGACGCUGAGGCGCGAAAGCUAGGGGAGCAAACGGG